UCUUCCUUGGUCUAGUGGUCAUGAUUUCCGCUUGUCAACGCAAGUUAUCAAGCGCGGGAGACCGGGGUUCGAUUCCCCGAGGGAGAG
rnacentral:tRNA from 1 species